AUACGAAGGGCCCGAGCGUUAAUCGGAAUCACUGGGCUUAAAGCGUACGUAGGCGGACGCGCAGGCAUCUUGUGAAAUCCCUCGGCUCAACCGAGGAACUGCUUGGUGAACCGCGUGUCUUGAGGCAAGUAGGGGCUGUCGGAACGAUAGGUGGAGUGGUGAAAUGCGUUGAUAUCUAUCGGAACGCCGAAGGAGAAAUCAGGCAGCUGAGCUUGUCCUGACGCUGAGGUACGAAAGCGUGGGGAGCGAACGGGAUUAGAAACCCUGGUAGUCC
rnacentral:rRNA from 1 species